rfam:Amphimedon queenslandica AMPQTscaffold_12251_Cont12493, whole genome shotgun sequence.
GCCUCCAUAGCUCAGCGGUUAGAGCACUGGUCUUGUAAACCAGGGGUCGAGAGUUCAAAUCUCUCUGGGGGCU